UACGUAGGGGGCAAGCGUUGUCCGGAAUCACUGGGCGUAAAGCGCACGUAGGCGGAUGUGUCAGUCAGGGGUGAAAUCCCGGAGCUCAACUUCGGAACUGCCUUCGAUACUGCGGGUCUCGAGUCCGGGAGAGGUGAGUGGAAUUCCUAGUGUAGAGGUGAAAUUCGUAGAUAUCUGGAGGAACACCGGUGGCGAAGGCGGCAUCCUGGACCGGUAUUGACGCUGAGGCGCGAAAGCCAGGGGAGCAAACGGG
rnacentral:rRNA from 1 species